rnacentral:rRNA from 1 species
AACGAACGCUGGCGGCAGGCUUAACACAUGCAAGUCGAGCGCCCCGCAAGGGGAGCGGCAGACGGGUGAGUAAUGCGUAGGAAGCUGCCCGAUAGAGGGGGAUACCAGUUGGAAACGACUGUUAAUACCGCAUAAUGUCUACGGACCAAAGUGUGGGACCUUCGGGCCACAUGCUAUCGGAUGCGCCUACGUGGGAUUAGCUAGUUGGUGGGGUAAUGGCUCACCAAGGCGACGAUCUCUAGCUGGUUUGAGAGGAUGAUCAGCCACACUGGAACUGAGACACGGUCCAGACUCCUACGGGAGGCAGCAGUGGGGAAUAUUGGACAAUGGGCGCAAGCCUGAUCCAGCCAUGCCGCGUGUGUGAAGAAGGCCUUCGGGUUGUAAAGCACUUUCAGCGAGGAGGAAGGGUGGUGUGUUAAUAGCACAUCAUUUUGACGUUACUCGCAGAAGAAGCACCGGCUAACUCUGUGCCAGCAGCCGCCGUAACAC